rnacentral:misc_RNA from 1 species
CCGAGGCAAAGGUUUCCAUUUCU